rfam:Thalassiosira oceanica strain CCMP1005 To_g17182, whole genome shotgun sequence.
AUGACUGUACUUUUAAAGAAUCUCUUUACAGUACACUUCCAAUUUGAUCUUCUCAAAUUAGAAACCAAUAACACUCGUGAUGACAAAAUCGCUAUGCUUGGAUAAUUGCGAGAUGAACGGUCUGUCUAAGAUUUUUCUUCGACGGCUGUGGCGACGAGCUGGGUCGAAAAUCAUUCACUUCGACCCCCGAGCAUACCAUUUGAACGAG